UCGACAUCCAGGAAGUGUGACCACACUUGG
rnacentral:piRNA from 1 species